GGUUUUGUGGCUGAGUUGGUUAAAGCGCCGUCUUUGUAAGACGGAGGUCGAGAGUUCGAUCCUCUCCUAAACCU